rnacentral:rRNA from 1 species
AAUGAACGUUGGCGGCGUGGAUUAGGCAUGCAAGUCGAGCGAGAACCCGCAAGGGGGACAGCGGCAAACGGGGUAGUAGUGUGUCGGAACGUGCCCUCUGGACGGGGAUAGCGGCGGGAAACUGCCGGUAAUACCCGAUGAACUCGAGAGAGCAAAGGUGUGAUUCCGCCGGAGGAGCGGCCGACAUGGUAUUAGCUGGUUGGCGGGGUAACGGCCCACCAAGGCUGUGAUGCCUAGGGGAUGUGAGAGCAUGAUCCCCACCAUUGGGACUGAGACACUGCCCAGACACCUACGGGUGGCUGCAGUCGAGAAUCUUCGUCAAUGGGCGAAAGCCUGAACGAGCGACGCCGCGUGCGGGAUGAAGGCCCUUGGGUUGUAAACCGCUGUCGAGGGGGAUGAAGGCAUUCAGGUACUCCUGAAUGUUUGACAGAGCCCUGGAGGAAGCACGGGCUAAGUUCGUGCCAGCCGCCGCAGUAAAAC